UACGUAGGGGGCAAGCGUUGUCCGGAAUCAUUGGGCGUAAAGCGCGUGUAGGCGGUUCGGUAAGUCGGCUGUGAAAGUCCAGGGCUCAACCCUGGGAUGCCGGUCGAUACUGCCGGACUAGAGUUCGGAAGAGGCGAGUGGAACUCCCGGUGUAGCGGUGAAAUGCGCAGAUAUCAGGAGGAACACCAAUGGCGAAGGCAGCUCGCUGGGACGUUACUGACGCUGAGACGCGAAAGCGUGGGGAGCGAACAGG
rnacentral:rRNA from 1 species